rnacentral:rRNA from 1 species
AGUCAAGUAAUUAAGUGCAUGUGGUGGAUGCCUUGGCAGUCAGAGGCGAUGAAAGACGUGAUAGCCUGCGAAAAGCUCCGGGGAGGCGGCAAAUAUCCUUUGAUCCGGAGAUGUCUGAAUGGGGGAACCCACCUACUUUAAGGUAGGUAUUGCAACAUGAAUACAUAGUGUUGCAAGGCGAACGAGGGGAAGUGAAACAUCUCAGUACCCUUAGGAAAAGAAAUCAAUUGAGAUUCCCUCAGUAGCGGCGAGCGAACGGGGAUCAGCCCAUUAAGUUAUGUGUGUUUUAGUGGAACGCUCUGGGAAGUGCGAACGUAGAGGGUGAUAUUCCCGUACACGAAAGGGCACACAUAAUGAUGACGAGUAGGGCGAGGCACGUGAAACCUUGUCUGAAUAUGGGGGGACCAUCCUCCAAGGCUAAAUACUCCUGACUGACCGAUAGUGAACCAGUACCGUGAGGGAAAGGCGAAAAGAACCCCUGUGAGGGGAGUGAAAUAGAUCCUGAAACCGCAUGCAUACAAGCAGUGGGAGCACCUUCGUGGUGUGACUGCGUACCUUUUGUAUAAUGGGUCAGCGACUUAUAUUCAGUAGCGAGGUUAACCGUAUAGGGGAGCCGUAGAGAAAUCGAGUCUUAAUAGGGCGUUUAGUUGCUGGGUAUAGACCCGAAACCAGGCGAUCUAUCCAUGAGCAGGUUGAAGGUUGGGUAACACUAACUGGAGGACCGAACCCACUGUCGUUGAAAAGCCAGGGGAUGACUUGUGGAUAGGGGUGAAAGGCUAAUCAAGCCUGGUGAUAGCUGGUUCUCCCCGAAAGCUAUUUAGGUAGCGCCUCGGACGAAUACCAUAGGGGGUAGAGCACUGUUUCGGCUAGGGGGUCAUCCCGACUUACCAAACCGAUGCAAACUCCGAAUACCUAUGAGUACUAUCCGGGAGACAGACUGCGGGUGCUAACGUCCGUAGUCAAGAGGAAAACAAUCCAGACCGCCAGCUAAGGCCCCAAAAUCAUAGUUAAGUGGGAAACGAUGUGGGAAGGCAUAGACAGCUAGGAGGUUGGCUUAGAAGCAGCCACCCUUUAAAGAAAGCGUAAUAGCUCACUAGUCGAGUCGGCCUGCGCGGAAGAUGUAACGGGGC